rnacentral:pre_miRNA from 1 species
GUAGGCUCAUUAUUGCAUGCUUGAACUAUGGUAAAAAUUUCAUACUCAUUGGAUCACAUAUAACUUAGUUAUAGAUAAAGCAUAGAUUUAACAAGAAUAAAGCUAAAUAAAUCUAUAACUAAAUUUUACUUGAUCCAAUGGAUACAAAACUUUUACCAUAGUUCAAGCAUACAAUAAUGAGUCCACCAUAAAAAAUUUACCACAAUUGAACCAU